ensembl:lncRNA
GUAGGUGUGAAUUUAAUAUAUUAAUGGUGACUGAAUUUAUGUUGAAGAUUUCCUUGGUCAGGAUUGACACUGCAUUGGUUUCAUGUUGUUUUGUUAGCUGGUGCUGUGUGUCAUGUGUAGGACUUGCUCUGAUUUCUUCACUCUGUAGAUGAAGGAGACAGAGGCGUAACAAGGAACUGACAUCAAGAAAAAUAGAGCAUACGCAGGAUGAUAACUGAUUAUUACAGUUCAUCCCCAGUUUGGACUAAGAUGUUGAGUGGACACCUGGCCAGCUGUCUGGAGGAGAUAAACCAACCCAUUUAGCAGCCCUUGCAUUACUCUUUGCACUAGAGCUGAAGCCUGAAAUUCUUUACUUUUUUUGUAAUAAGAUUCAGAGGCCGGCGCACUCACAGGAGAGUCAACACUGCAACAGUUCCUCCAAACUUGCUGUCACUUGACUGUUAGUCCAUAAAAUGUAUUAUUACAGCAUGUUGAAUAAUGCUGAGCUGGUUGAAAAAUGGCGAGGAUUUUGCCUGGAUAUGAGGAAAAUACCGUCUGAGAGCAGAGUGCACAGUCAGGAAAAGGCAGGUUGUACAGAGAGUCAUUUAGGUCAGAUUACUCCGUAUGAUGCAAGCACUGCCAUCUCGUGGAUAAUCUAAGGAUGUGGAGAGUU